GAGAGCCAGGACGAACCCCCGGCACCGAGGCGGCGCCCGCACGGAGGCCCCGGCAGAGGAGGCAGCAGCCCCGGCCGAGGAAGCGCCUGUCGACCCAGCGCAGCAGCAGACCGACGUCCAACACACAGCAGAAGAAGUCGUGGCAGGCGAAGGGGCUGAGCAGGAUCCCGCCGCUGCCGCGGAGGAGGAAGCGGCCGCCGACGAGCCUGCAGACAAGCGUCGCCCCGGAGUCGGAAUCGGAGGCAAGAGGCGCGUCAUGCUCAACCGCUUCAACAAGAACCGCAGCUCCGCCCCAGCAGCACCACGACGCCGCAGCCCAAGCGCGCCCCGUCGUCCAACAACCGCCGCACGGCACUCACGUCGCUCUUCAACCGAAGGAACCGCCGCCCCGGAAGAAGGAACAAGGGAGCCGCAGAGGAAGAGCCUGCUGCAGAGGAGCCCGUAGACGCCGCAGAGCAGGAAGCGCCCGUCGAGGAUGACAAUCAAGUAGCAGAAGCCCAUCUGGCCGCCGUGGAGGAGCAGGUCGUGGCGGAGGAGCCCGUCGUGGAGUCGGAGGCGCCCGCAGAGGAGGCCGCCGAGGAAGGAGGUCCUAAGCGCGGCCGGACACGCCCCGGCCUCAGCUCGCUCUUCAACCGGCGAAGGAGACUCAACCGGAGAAGAGAAGAGGAGUAGAGCGGAGGUGGAAGAGGCACCGUAACUGAUCGCCACCUCUUCCUCUGUUCCACGAAAGAGGAAGCGGAAAGGACAUGAUAACGACGACGAUGGAAAGGAGAAGGAAGACAGAAGGAAGAGUGUGUUUUCGUGUCCGGUCUUCGUGUUCGUUCCCGUCUUCUUCCUUGGGAGUCGGAAGAAGGAGAGAGAUUUAGAGAAGAAAAUCUCUCUACGUUUUUUAUAUAUAAUUCUCUUUCUUUCUCUCUCUCUCUCUUAUUUUCUUUCUUCUUCUCUCGAAAUCCCAGUUUCCGGUCCGUCCCUUCCCAUCUAUACGAUAGAAAACCCAAGAAAACAAAUGAACGAUGUCAACAGAGAAAAAAAAACAAGAGAACAUCGCUCAUGACGGAACAAUUUCCUUAUUUCACCGUCACUUUUCUUUUAUUUUUCGUCAAUCAACCUUUUUCCCUUCAUAUUCAUCCUUAAAAUCGUUCUCACCUUCCAUAUAUAUAAUUUUUCUUUGAAUGAAGCAAAGAAAACCUUCAUUGAGUGAAACGCGUGGUCACUUCACCCAAAGAAACCGAAUUGCACUCAUAUAAGAUAUUUUAUCACGGCCACGCUUUAAGAAUCCCACCUUGACUUAAUUAGGUUAGCAUCGGAAUCAGACGAUCGGUUAAUAAAGUAAAUAUAGUGAUAAUUCAUACAUUCUGCUCUUCAAUCAUCAAGAACAUAAGAAACGUUUUUUUUUAAUGUUAGUAAUAUGCUUUGUUUUAUUUUUCUUUCUUUUAUUUUCUUUCGUUGCAUAUGUAUAUCCUGAUCCCAUAUCUCACUCCUGGGACUGAUGAAAAAAAUAAUCGUUAUUUUGCCUUGUGAUAUAUCUACAAACAUCUUUUCUUUCUCUUUUCUUUUUGUAUUGUAUCUAUAUAUAUCUUUUUUUUUCUCCCGUCCCACCUACCUCCCUCCCUUCCCCUUACCCCAUGUGCUCCCCCUCCCCCUCCCCCCUCCUUGUAGAUAGCAGUUUCAUUUGAAUCUAUUUAAUUUGUAAACUGUAAAUAUUUUGUAUCUGUUUAUGUUUACUUUCUUUUUUAUCUUCUUCUACAAGGGGAAAAUUACUGUUUAGUUUAGUGAAGUAAUUCAUCCCCCCCCCCUUUUUUUAGUCUUUAAUGACGUAUAUAUAUAUAUAAUCACACGUGAUUCGUUAUAUAAUAGGAAAAUAGGUAAUUGGUUCCUUAAAACAGUUUUCGAAAUAUUUUUCACUUCCAUCAGACUCUCGAAUUCUAAAAAAAAAAAAUAAAGAAAAUAUACUGCAGCAGUAAACAGAUAAUUUUGGCCGAUUUUUUUUGCAUUCAGUUAAAAAUAAUUUCCUAACUCAUUUUUCGGCUUCAAAGAUUUGGCCAUUCUUAUUGACAAAUCUUUGUAUGCCAAGACUGAGUGACUUGACGAAUGAAACUAGCUUUGUUCAUAAUUAAACCCCUUUUUGACCUCUGCGAGUGUCUCUCAUCGUAAUAUUGGAAUAGUCACCCCUCGGAAAAUAUAAAACGUUUUCUCUCUCCUCAGAAACAUUAACACAGACUCUUUUGUACAAUUCGUCUUUGUAUAUCACUUAAAACAAGAAAAAAAAUCCAUAAUUGAUGAAUUCGGCAUUGAUCUUAGAACAAAAUAUUAAAAAUAAAAUUAUAUGAAUAUCUACAAUCCUGCUCACGGAGGAGAAUUUUCAAAAAAGUCCCUCUACCGCGCUUGUCGUGUGAGAAAUAAACGAUUCUGAGCCUAAUGUACAGUUUUAUAUAAUAAUGCUAAUGAUAAUUGCUCACGAGCGCCCACGAAAGAACCAACCGACCGGCGCUGGGAUAGAGGACCCCCCCCAAACCCCCCUCCCCCAUCCACCCCUUCCCUCCUCGUGAGCUGGAUGAAGCUCCGCCCACAUCUUGUAUCUAGUGGGCGUGGCUUGUCAACAGCCCCGCCUUCCACUCUCUGUAUCUAUCUAUAUAUAUGUAUGUUCGUUUAGGAAAUAUGAUAAGAGAAGGCGGGGUUACUAGCUCGGAGUCAAACUCUGGGUGGUGCCAAUAUCUCUUCAAGUCUGUGUAUAGUGCCUUUGUAAAUAAACAAUGUGGUUACUCUAUUGCUUGAAA